rnacentral:rRNA from 1 species
GACGUAGGGCGCGAGCGUUGUCCGGAUUUAUUGGGCGUAAAGCGCGCGCAGGCGGCUUGGCAAGUCGGGUGUGAAAUCCCGGGGCUCAACCCCGGGACUGCAUUCGAUACUGUCAGGCUAGAGGUAGGUAGGGGAGAUCGGAAUUCCUGGUGUAGCGGUGAAAUGCGCAGAUAUCAGGAGGAACACCGGUGGCGAAGGCGGAUCUCUGGGCCUUACCUGACGCUCAGGCGCGAAAGCUAGGGGAGCGAACAGG